rnacentral:rRNA from 1 species
ACGUUUAGCAAAUCCCAGAAAUAACGUCCCAGUUCGGAUGUAGUCUGNAACCCGACUACAUGAAGCUGGAAUCGCUAGUAAUCGCGAAUCAGAAUGUCGCGGUGAAUACGUUCCCGGGUCUUGUACACACCGCCCGUCACACCAUGGGAGUCGGAAAUGCCCGAAGUCAGUGACCUAACCGAAAGGGAGGAGCUGCCGAAGGUGGAGCCGGUAACUGGGGUGAAGUCGUAACAAGGUAUC